AUGCUUACAUACCAGGGGAGAUACCAUGAUCUAAAAGUGGUUUUCCCAGGGCAAGGCUUAUCCAUUGCACUCUGGAUAAGCCUGUGAUUUCCCCAAAUGAGGGGAACUUGACAGUAUAAUUUGUGGUAGUGGGGGAAUGAAUUUGUGCUCUCCCCUG